rnacentral:rRNA from 1 species
AUUGAACGCUGGCGGCAGGCCUAACACAUGCAAGUCGAGCGAGCGGCGGACGGGUGAGUACUGUAUGGGGACUGCCCGUUAGCGGGGGCUAACUACUGGAAACGGUAGCUAAUCCCGCAUACUAUCGGACAACCCAGGUGGGAUUAGCUAGUAGGUGAGUGAAUGGCUCACCUAGGCGACGAUCCCUAGCGGGUCUGAGAGGAGGAUCAGCCACACUGGGACUGAGACACGGCCCAGACUCCUACGGAGGCAGCAGUGGGGAAUAUUGCACAAUGGGCGCAAGCCUGAUUCAGCCAUGCCGAGUGUAGGAAGAAGGCCCUAGGAUUGUAAAGUACUUUCAGUCGGGAGGCGUUACCGACAGAAGAAGCACCGGCUAACUCCGUGCCAGCCGCCGCGGUAAUUC